UACGUAGGGGGCAAGCGUUGUCCGGAUUUAUUGGGCGUAAAGAGCGUGUAGGCGGUUGGGUAGGUCCGUUGUGAAAACUCGAGGCUCAACCUCGAGACGCCGAUGGAAACCCCCCAGCUAGAGUCCGGAAGAGGAGAGUGGAAUUCCUGGUGUAGCGGUGAAAUGCGCAGAUAUCAGGAGGAACACCGGUGGCGAAGGCGGGUCUCUGGGCCGAUACUGACGCUGAGGAGCGAAAGCGUGGGGAGCGAACAGG
rnacentral:rRNA from 1 species